GUUUUCAUCGAAAGCCUUUAUUGUGAAACUGAAUACAUCAGAUAUACACACUACAUGCUGUUAGCAAACCACAAACUGAUACCAUCCCAUGUUGGUACGAGGCCACAUUAACACCACACUCUAAAACAUCGGAAAAUGUAAUACAUUAAUUGGUAUCUACUCUACAAGACAGGACAGAUAAUAAUGUAUCCUAAAAGUACAGCCUCAACAUGAUACCCAAGUGACGCUCUUGAGUAACUGAGCAGAAGUAGAAUGUCACGAGUCCACAAAUAAAUGAUUCAUGUGUCACUUGUUGAAGUACAAUUAUUGUAAGGCUAAGCGAAAUAACACAAAAUAAGAUUAUUU